rnacentral:lncRNA from 1 species
AUUGAUUGAUACACAUUAUUGGUAUCUAAUAUAAUAGAAAUUGCCUUUAUUAUUUGAAAAUGCUAUAUUGUGUUAACAUACAGAGCCGGAAGGGACCUUUCGUCCGCAUACAUUAAGUAAAACUUUUAGAGGUAUAUUAAUGUCUAUUCCCAAAAUAUCACCUUUGAUUGCUGUGCAAAGACACGCAUGAGCUUCAACAUCAACAAGACCAGCGAUGAAGGGGCAACAUGGCUUGCAUUGCGGAGCUCCAAUUACAAUGGACACUAAAUCUUUUAACAGAUUGACACAAACACGCAAAUCAGGACAUUGCUUCAAUUUUGAAGUACCUGCCACUGACACAUGGGCAGAGCUAAGACUAGCAGAGAAGAGGACGUUAACAAAAAAGAUGACGAAGAUAAUGGAUGCAACAUUCUUUGAACCCAUGUUAAAAUUAGAUGUUUUUAUAUGCUUUAUGAUUUCUUUUGAAAUGUUGAAUUUUAUUUGUGAUUUGAAUGAAGAUUCAAGGACAUUAUUUAUAGGAAAAUUAAAGGGAUUUUAAAAUUAUUUUAAAAUCAUAUUUUUUUUAUAAGUGAUUUUAUUACUUUUUCCUUAGCUUCUAAGCUUAUUAUACAUUGCAUAUAAAAUAUUGUAUUUUAUAGCUAUUUAUUAUACAAUUUUUUUAGUAAUAUAUUAAGUCAAUAAAAAUAUUAAAAUUUAUACUUGAGUUAAUAUUAAAAGAGUAUUAGAAUGACAUAAUGUGUCUAGAAACUUGUCACAUACUCUUUUCUAUAUCUUUUAAUUUAACUAGACAAAUAUCCGUGCGAAAAGCACGGGGUUUGUUAUAAGUAUCAAUAUUAAAGUAAUUGUUACUAAAAUAUAUAAUAAAUAUUAUAUAUAAAGAAAUUUUUUUAAAACAAUGUAUCUGAUAGACAUAAUAUUAAUAAUAAAAGGGGUAAAUGAUAUAUUUUUAUUGAAUAAUCUAAACACUUUUAACAAAGUUGAAUAAAACAAUAAUAGUUAUUGUGAUUUAAUUUUUAAUACAUGUCCUAAAUUAUCAUGAUUAUUUUUAUUUAAAUUAGUGUAAGAUUCAAUUUAGAGUUGAAAUAUUGUCUCAUAUUUUGUUUAUAUUUAUUAGUGACAAAUUUUUGUUGUGUUUUAUUACAUAAAUCAAUAAAAACAUAUGUGUCUAUUAUUUUUUAUAUAUUAAUAAAAGAUAUGCGUCUCGUAUUUUUCUAUAUGUUUUCUCGGACUUUGUAAGUAUAUUUGAUCUGUUCCAUAUUUUUUAUAAUGAUAAAUAAAUAAUUGACUCAUAGUUUUUUAUGUAUCAAUGAUAAACAUGUGUCUUGUGGUAACUUAUUCAUUGCAUAAAUUGUGCACUAUAAUACAUUUUUAACCGAUUUAUUUUUAAUAAUUUUAAUGGAUUUGAAUAAGAGAUUAAUUACUAUACACUGUCAGCGUAAAAAGUUUUACACCGUCGGUUCAUCACCAUCACCCGUUUGUAUUACUUUAUAGAUUUUUAAAAUAAAAGUCAAAUUUUUUUAAAUAUCCAACGUCUAUAAUUAAGUGAUGGUGUAAAACCCUUUUACACUGACAGUGUAUUUCAAUUAAUCUCUUUGAAUAGAGAUUAAUUACUAUACACUGUCAGUGUAAAAAGUUUUACACCGUCGGUUCAUCACCAUCACCCGUUUGUAUUACUUUAUAGAUUUUUAAAAUAAAAGUCAAUUUUUUUUAAAUAUCCAACGUCUAUAAUUAAAUGAUGGUGUAAAACCCUUUUACACUGACAGUGUAUUUCAAUUAAUCUCUUUGAAUAAUUAUAUCUAUUGUAUAUAAUUUUUCUUAUUUUAACUUUAUAAUUUUAAUAAAAAAUAUAAUUAUAAUAAAAAAUUUAAAAAAUGUUGUUUAUUCUAAUAAACUCAAUUUAAUAUUUUAUAAUUAUUUUUAGAUAAAAAAUAUUAUUUUGAAUAAUUUUUUUAGUCAAAAUACUAUUCUUUGUUUGAUCUCACCAUUUGGAACAUUAAGAAUUUAUUUUCGAAGUAUAAAAUAAACGUUAAUCAUAUUUGAUUGUUCUCCCAUAAAAAUUUAAUUUCUUCUGGAAUUAAUUUUAAGUUGAAGGUUGAAUUUAUAACUUUUGAUUUAAACGUCAUUAAAAAUUAUUGAUCAAGUCACUUUUACAUAAACAUAUUUCAAAAUAAACUAUUUUUUUACAUUCAACUCACUAUUAAGUAAUAUUAAUUUGAUAAAUAACAUACAUCAAAAAUAAUUUUUAUCACAAUUGAAUUUAACUUGAUUAAAUUUAAAUAAUAUAUUAAUAACAAAUAAUUGGUUUAUGUAUAUGAACUACAUGUGUCAAUGACUUUUUUAAUGAUUCUUUUUUUUUUUAAAAUAACCAUAAAAAUUAUAAUUGCUAUAGUAUAAUUGUUCUUAUUUUUAUGCCAAUGAUAUUAAAAAAUAUUAAAUUUAAUGACUUAUUUUAUAACAAAUACUUCUUUUCUAUAUUAAAUUUUUAGUAAACUCAAAUUAAUAAUUUUUAAUAAACUCAAAUUAAUAAGUUAUAAUUAUUUUAUUCUUGUAAUUAAAAACAUCAAAAAAGUAUUAUACAAAUGUUUAUCGUAAGAAAAUUAUAAUUAUUAUAUUAGAACUUUUUCUUAAUUAUAUAUAAACAUUAUUAGAAAAUAUUAGUUUUAGCGUAAAGACACGCUUUGAUUCCUUGUAAAAGUUAUAGAAUACAAUUUAAUUAUCGAGAAAUAAAAAUGCUCUAUUUAAUCUCUUACAAGUUUAAACUGGGUCAUAUUAGUCCUGUCUUAAUAUAUUUUUGAAUGUAUUAUUUUAUUUUUCAUUGAAAAAAUACUAAAUUAAUUUUUAAUUUAAAUUAAUUAAUUGAAUUACUAUUAAAUUAAUUGAUUAUUAUUUAGUUUGAAUUAAUUCAAAUUAAGUGAAUAUUUAUUUGUAUUUUAUUUGAUAUAAGUAAAUAACUAAAUAAGAAAUGUUUACUAUUACUACAAAUUAUUAGAAUUAUUUGUCACUAAUGUACGAUGACCUAAUGGUAAAGAUAUAAGAUGUUGCUUAAAAGUCUUUGAGUUUGAUUCUUUCCAAGAAUUUUUUUGGCUUUUUUUAAUAAUUUGUGGCAUAAAUCUCUCAGAGGUAUAUUACACAAGUGCUCAGAACAAAAUUGAUGAAACUUUUGAUUUGGUGCAAUAAAAAUAAAUGCAAAAGUUUCACUCAAAAAUUUAUGACACAAGACACUUGUUUAAAAAUGAAGGAUUGAGUUUGAAUUGUAAUGACAAAUGUUAGUUUUCAAAAUCUGAAACCUAAGGUAUUUAUACAUGCAACACACAUGUAGGAAUUAGUAUAAUACCAAUACCUUGAUAUGUAGGUGAAAUUUAGAAUCCCUUGGAAUUAGAUUUUAGGUGAAAAAGUGUCACUGCUUUAGUGGUAACCGGUUAACACAUAAUCGUAAUCGGUUACUACUGAAACACUUUAUGAAAAUUGAGUUUUUUUCAAAGGUGUAACUGGUUACAGGUUUUGGUUAACCGAUUACAUGUAACUGGUUACAGAAAAUGGUUAAUCCGUUACAUCUGAUGCAUUUUUGAAAAACACUUAAAGUUUCAUUUUGGUAACCGAUUAACAAGAAUAUAUAAAUACAGGUUUUGGUUAACCGAUUACAUGUAACUGGUUACAGAAAAUGGUUAAUCCGUUACAUCUGAUGCAUUUUUGAAAAACACUUAAAGUUUCAUUUUGGUAACCGAUUAACAAGAAUAUAUAACCUGUUACACUUGAUGAAAGUUUGAAAAAUACUUUAAGUAAUAUUUAGAUGAUAAACCAUUUGAUGUAAAAAGUCAUGCUAUGCAUCAAUAUGAAUUGAAUAUGAAAUUCCUGAACACUACUAUGAUAAAACACAUGAUCAAAUUGUAACUUGUACCUUAAUGAAAUGAUUAAUCUCCUAAAGUCAAAUAUCAUCUUGACAAUGUUUCUUGAGGUAUAAGUCUUGAUACCAUAAAUUGAAUAAUAUAGUUUUUUUCUCAUCAUUUGAUAAUGCACAUGAAUUUGAGAAAGUAUACUUGUCUUCAUCAAACCACAAUGUUGGAGAAGCUCGACUUCACAAUCUCCACUUUUUUGAUGAUGAAAACCAUUGAAACUUGAAAUACUUGAAUCUUGUAGAACAUUUGAAAACCUCUAAAGCAAGUGCUCCCCUAACAUUGAUAACUCCCCAUUGAUCAAUAGCGAAUAUGAAUAUUUUGUUUCUGCAUAAGCUAGAGGAUACAAACACACAUAUAUCUUCUCCUGCUUUGUCAUUAUCAAAAGGAAGGGGAGAAAGAAAAUAACAAAGUAGUUGUAAUAUAAAAUAAAUUUUAUACCACAAUAGGAUUUUAAGCAUAACAGACAUACAUAACAUAAUGCAAACACAAUCCAUAAUCCAUAACAUAAAACUUGUGUUUAAUGAUAGGGUUUUCCCAAGAGAAAGUAAGAGAGUAACCAAUAAAUGUACCUCCGUCGGACUUCUCGUUAAACUUACCGAGAUUGUCUUUGUAAUUAUUAAGGAUAAAGCACUUGCAUCCAAAGAUAUGAAAGUGGGAAAUGUUUGGCUUUCUUCCUUUGAAGAGUUCAUAUGGAGUCUUUUUCAAUAUUGGUCUUAUAAUAACCUGAUUACUUACAUAAUAUGUCGUGCUUACUACAUCCGUCCAAAAAUACUUUGAAAGACUUGAAUCACUAAGCAUUGUUCUUGAAAUUUCUACUAGAGAUCAAUUAUUUCUUUCCAUCACUCCAUUUUCUUGUAGAGUCCUUGGUGCUAAAAAUUGUGAAAGAUCCCACGUUCUUCACAAAACUCCUCAAAAGAUGCAUUUUAGAACUCUUCACCAUGGUCAUUUCUAAUUGAUGUAAUUUUUAGUGGUUUUUUCAUUAUUGUUACUUUCUUUUCAUACUUCUUGAACACCUUAAUUGCAUUAGUUUUCUGCACUAAAAAGAGUGUCCAAGAAAAUCUAUAAAAAUCAUCAAUAAUAACUAAGGCAUAUACAUUACCUCCGAAGCUUCUUGUUCGAGAUUGACCAAACAAGUCCAUAUGCAACAAUUGAAGUUACCUUGUAGUAGAUACCAUAUUCUUUGGUUUGAAAGUUGAUUUGGUUUGUUUUUCUUUUGACAAGCAUCAUACAAUUUAUCUUUGACAAACUUUAUCUUAGAUAACCAAUGACAAGAUCAUGCUUGACUAAUUUAUUUAAAUGUUUCAUAUGGAUAUGGAAAACUCUUAUAGGCCAAAGUCAUGAGUCAUUGUUGUUUACCAUGAGAUAUUUUACUUUCAAAGAUAAAUUAUCUAAAGAAAUCAUGAAAAUGUUAUUAAUUCUUUUAUCUUUGACUUUUACCUCAUGAGUGACUUCAUCUUAAAUCAAGCAUUCAUCCUUGGCGAAAUUUGAUUUUGAAGUCUUUGUCACAAAGUUGGAUUGUACUUAGAAGAUUGUGCUUUAGUACUUCAACAUAAGAAUAUCUUCAAUGGAUGUGAAAGGUGGUGCUCCAACUUUUCAUAUUCCAAGAUUCUUUCCUUUAUUAUUGUCUCCAUAAGUGACAUAUCCCUUGACUUUUAAGACUAAAGAUGAAAAUUUAUUGAUAUUUCUCAUCAUAUGCUUAGAACAACCACUAUUAAGAUAACAUAGAUUUGUAGUGGUUUUAAAGAACACCUACAAAACAAAUUAGGUUUUGUUAGGUAUCCAAAUUGCCUUGGAUCCUUCAUAAUUACUUUAUUUCUUGACUCACACAUAAUUCCCACUUUCCACCCUAAAGUUCCUUACAUAACAAGUCUUAGGUGUGUGACUAUUAUACCAUAAUAGAAACAUGUAGGAAUAAAAUUACCUUUAUAUCUAAGAACAUACUAAUUUUUCUUAACAAAUCUCUUCUUAGUGUUGAUAGCUACACUGAUGUAGUGUAUGCAUGCGCCAAUGCUUGUGGCGCCAAUGCAUGCAUGCACCAAGAGCAUUGAAAGGAAUAAGUCCAUCUUAUUGUAUGCAUAAAAUCAAAUUGGAGGUAGAAUUCAAACUAGUGGUUUAACCUCAACAAAAACUUGAUCCUACAAUAAAAUAGAUUAUGAAAAAGGAGGUGAUUAAGUUACUUUAAGCAUGUAUAGUUUAUCCUAUUUCUAAUAGCUCUUGGGUUAGUCUAGAUCAUGUGGUCCCAAUGAAGGGAGGAAUGAUAGUCAUUAGAAACGAGAGAACCAAGUUAAUUCCAACUCAUACAUUUAUUGUCUAGAGAAUGUGCAUUGAUUACUGGAGGAUAAGCCAAGCAACAAUAAAAGAUCAUUUUCCUCUACCAUUCAUGGAUCAGAUGUAGGAGACGAGAGAACCAAGUUAAUUCCAACUCAUACAUUUAUUGUCUAGAGAAUGUGCAUUGAUUACUGGAGGAUAAGCCAAGCAACAAUAAAAGAUCAUUUUCCUCUACCAUUCAUGGAUCAGAUGUAGGAGGUGCUACUAGGAGAAUCAUAUUAGUAUUUUCUAGAUGGAUACUCAGUGUACAACCAAAUUUUUAUGAACCUGAAUGACCAGGAAAAGAUUGCUUUCACAUAUCCGUUUAGACAUUUUGUGUAUUAGAUGAUAUCUUUCAGAUUAUGCAACACUCCAUAUACUUCCUAAAAGUGCAGGCUUUAUGAUUUUGUUGAUAUGAUUGAAAGCUCAAUUGAGGUAUUUAUGGAUGUUUUUUAUUUUAUUUUUAGUAAUACUUUUGAUAAUUGACUUGAUAACCUAAAUGUCGUUCUUAAGAGCAACAUUGAAACAAACCUUAUUUUAAACUGAGAAAAAUAUCACUUCAUGGUAAUUAAAGAAAUUGUUUGGGGGCAUAAAAUAUUUUCAAAAGGUAUUGAGGUUGAUCAAGAAAAGAUAAAAGUGAUUGAAACAUUACCGUCUCCUGCUAAUGUGAAAGGAAUGCGAAUUUUCUUAGGACAUGUAGGUUUUUAACGUCGUUUCAUAAAAGAUUUCUCUAAGAUUCCAAAACCUUUAUGAAAACUCCUUAUGAAAGAGAAAUAUUUUGUUUAAAUAAUGAUUUUUUACAUUUUUUUAUGUUAUUAAUAAAACUUGGUCACCACGCCCAUAAUAGUUAAUUGGGAACUCCCCUUUGAACUUAUAUGUGAUGCAAGUGAUUAUGCGGUUGGAACGGCUUUAGGUCAAUGAUUUGAGAAAAUUUUACAUGUUAUUUAAUAUGCUAUCAAUGUCCUGAAUGAAGACCAAGUGAAUUAUACAACUAUAGAAAAGGAGUUGUUAUUUGUUGUAUUUGCCUUGGAAAAGUUUUGUUCUUACCUUAUUGGUUCCAAGGUUUUUAUUCUUACAGAAAUUGCAACACUCAAAUACCUAUUCACCAAGGCAGACUCUAAACCCCAUUUGCUAAGGUGGAUAUUAUUGCUACAAUAGUUUAACUUUGAGGUCAAGAAUAAGAAGGGAUUUAUGAAUAUAGUAGUUGAUUAUUUGUGAAGGUUUGAUAAUGCAGUGGUGACUCAAAAGGAAAAGAACAUCACUGAAGAGUUCUCGGAUGAUCAUUUGUUAGAAAUAAGUGAAAAACCAUUGUUUGCAGUUAUGGUUAACUAGAAAGAAACAAAGAGUAUCCUGGAAGGGUACACUUGGCAAUAAAAGAAGAUAUUUUACAAGGAAGCAAACUUUUGUAUGUGGGAUGAUCCAUAUUUGUUUAUAAAAGAAGAUAUUUUACAAGGAAGCAAACUUUUGUAUGUGGGAUGAUCCAUAUUUGUUUAAGGUAAGUCUUGACAGUUUAAUUAGAAGAUCUGUUGCAAUUUAGGAGCUAGUAGUGUCAUGUAGCACUUAUAUAACUCAACUUAUGUAGGCCAUCAUAGUGGUGAGAGUAUUGAUGCAAAAAUACUACAAUGUGGUUUUUAACGGCCUCUAUUGUUCAAGGAUUCUAAGAAAUAUGUUCAAAUUGUAAGAAUAAGAUUUGGUUAUACAUAUGGCCUUUAGUUUUGAUGAUACCAAUACAUUGUUUCUUAGAGAACAAUUUUGUACCCUAAUGGUUUUUGUCUAGUGUGUAGCUUUUGUUAACAGGUUCUGACUCUGAAGAAUUAACGUGUGACAUCAUCAGAUUCUGGACUCAACACACUCUGACUCUGAAGAGAUAGAAAGUGUUUUACAAGAUGUUAUCAAGUUCUAGAAUGCUCUUAGAAAAUGGUUCUGAUGAACGUUUGUGCUAAAGCUUCUGACUGUGACUUUGAUUGAAGAGCCUCUAAAGGAUUGUGAAGCCUUAAAUAUUUUGAGCUCUCAAGUUAUGAAGACUCUAAAGAACAAGAUUUGAAGACUCUAAAGGCCAAGUUCUGAGGAACUGUGCUAAGACUUUGAAGACCGAGGUUCUGAAGAUUCUCUCAACUAGAAAGAAACAAGACUUGGGAGUUGACUGAGCUUCCAAAGAACAAGAAAGUUAUCAAUGUUAGAUGAGGUUUCAAGGUGAAACUAAAUCCAAAUGGAUCAAUUGGGAAACACAAAUCAAGGUAAGUAGCAAGAGGUUUCCUACAGAAACCUGGGUUGGAUUACUUUUGAAGUGUUUGCUCCUGUAGCGAGACAUGAGACAAUCAGGCUGGUGAUUUCGAUAAUUGCUAACAAGAAUUGGCCUCUAAUGCAUUUAGAUGUAAAAUCUGCAUUUCUGAAUGGUCCAUUGCAAGAAGAGGUAUGCGUGUCACAACCUCCUGGAUUUUUGAAAAAGAAACAGGAAGGAAAGAUGUACAAGUUGCAUAAAUCCGUGUAUGGACUGAAACAAGCUCCUAGAGCUUGGAAUUUAAAAAAUGAUUCACUUUUAAAGCUCCAAGUAUUCAGAAAGUGUGAUAUGGAGUAUGGAGUUUAUGUUCAGCAUACUUCUGAAGGAACUAUGAUUCUGGUGUGUUUAUAUGUUGAUGACAUAUUGCUAAUAGGGAUUUGUGAACAUGAGAUAACUAAUUUCAAGAAGGUGUUGAUGAAUGAAUUUGAGAUAAUUGAUUUAUGAAAGAUGACUUAUUUCUUAGGGAUGGAGUUUAUGUACUCUGAGAAGGGUAUCAUUUUGCAUUAGCUGAAAUAUGAACUUGAGCUUCUGAAGAGAUUCGAGUUUCCGAAUUGUAUGGCUGUUGUCACACCGUCAGUAACAAAUCACAAGUUGGAUUCUGAUUCUGAAGGUGAUGAUGUAGAUUCCACAACUUUCAAGCAGUUGAUUGGAUCUCUGAGGUAUUUGUGUAAUAACAUACCUAACAUUUUUUAUGUCAUACGAAUGGUUAGUAAGUUCAUGAGUAAACCAAAAUGGUCUCAUUAUCAAGCUGCUGUCAGGAUUCUGAGGUAUAUUAACGGGACUCUGAAGUAUGGAGUUUUGUUCCCUUCUAGAGAAAAGACUAAUUCAGAGCUGAUGUGUUACUCAAAUUUUAAUUAUUGUGGAGACAAAGUUGACAGAAGAAGUACUUCUGGAUAUUUGUUUAAGUAUAUGGUAGAUCCUAUUUCUAGGUGUUCCAAGAAGAAACCAACUGUUGCUUUGUCAACCUAUGAAGCUAAAUAUAUUGUAUAUGUUGUGGCUCCAUGUCAAGUUGUUUGGCUUCUGAAUUACUGCAAGAUCUGAAGAUCAAGGUAAACAAGCCUCUGAAGCUGAUGAUUGACAACAAGUCUACAAUCAAUCUUGCCAAGAACCCCCAAUACUGCAUGGGAGAAGCAAGCAUAUUGAGACUAGGUAUCAUUUUCUGAGAAGUCGGGUUCAAAUUGAAUGCAAGAAGUUAUGCAAUGUAGCACUCAGAAGCAGCUGACAGAUGUUCGGACAAAAGUGAUCAAGACUAAUCAAUUUCUCCACUUGAGGGAUGGAAUUGGUGUUAUUAGUUUUUACUAGUUAAAUUCUGAAGGGAUGGUGUUGAAGGGUAAUUCAGUAUUUUAGUAUUUAUCCUAUGUGGCAUUAUUAUUUGUGUAUAUAAGUGAGUAAUGUGCUUAGCUAUUAAGUAAUGUAACACGUUGUAUGCAAAAAUAGUGGAGUAAUCAUUCUCUGUGUAACCGUUACUGGAAUAGUAGUAGAAGUUUGUUAGAGUUUGCUACUCUCUCUCUCUCUCUCUCUCUCUCUCUCUCUCUCUCUCUCUCUCUCUCUCUCUCUCUCUCUUUCUCUCUCUCCCCCCUUCAUCUUCAUCUUGUGCAUCAACAAAUUCUUUUGAAAUGUUGAAUUUUAUUUGUGAUUUGAAUGAAGAUUCAAGGACAUUAUUUAUAGACAAAUUAAAGGGAUUUUAGAAUUAUUUUAAAAUCAUUUUUUUAUUAGUGAUUUUAUUACUUUUUCCUUAGUUUAUAAGCUUAUUAUACAUUAUAUGUAAAUUAUUGUAUUUUAUAGCUAUUUAUUAUAUAAUUUUUUUUAAUAAUAUAAUAAUUCAAUAAUAAAUAUUAAAAUCUAUAGUUGAGUUAAUACUAAAAGGGUAUUAUGAUGACAUGACAUGUCUAGAAACUUGUCACCUACUCUUUUUCUAUAUCUUUUAAUUUAAUUUUCAUAAGUUAUAUAUCAAUUAAUGUCCAAAUUUUUAUGCUUCAGUGCGAAUUCAUUGGAGUAUACGAUCACGAGACUCAAACUCUUGUUCAUUUGUAAAUUGGUUGCGAAUAUCUACGUUAUUCACAUCAACAUAUUUUGCAUUCGUAGUCAUAAUAGGUUAGGGGAAAACAUCAGGGUGCGACAUAUCUAAUGCAAACAAUAACAGAAAAUAUUCAAAAACUGAUUCAAAUGAGCACUGAACUAUUCGGGAAAUGCACUUCCGUAGAAUUUCAUCUAGAAUCCAAAAAUGCAUUUUCUGAAGCAACGUAACUUUUUUAGCUGAAAAACCAUAUUAAUAUGAGCAAUGAAGAAUGAACUAAAUGAUCUUUAACUUAAAUUUCAGCUUUUGUGCUCCUUUCGAUGUGAUGAAAUACAAGAAUAAAGUUUUGGAGUGCUGAUCUUGAUUGAGAAUGGAAGGACUUUUGCAAGAGUUUUGAGAUAAAUUGGUGUUUAAUUAUGAGGAAGAAGACAGUAAGGGUUAUGUUUUAUUAAAAAUCACAUUUAACAGUUUCAUAAAUGUACUUAUGGAAUUGAUUGGCAUGUAGAGGUGGUAGGUUUUUAAAUUCCCACUUCACAAAUUCAGAAAUGUACUUUUGAAUUUGUUACCGAGUUGUUAAAUUAAAAAUAUAUUGAUAGGAUGAGUCCGAAGAUACAUAUUCGGAAUAAAUUUUGGAAAAAAUAUGGGGUGAGACUCAAGUGGGUGUAAUUUGGUGAGACUCAGGGUGCAUCCAGAAUUACAUUUUCAGAAUAAGAGGAGAAUUUUUAGAUUUUCAUAUGGUGUUUUUUCAUCAUUUAGAGUGGGAUAAUCAAUUCCCUUAGACUUUGUUUGGGAGUUUGGAAGAGAGGGAAAAUGAGGGUUUCAUAAAUUAUAUAUAUUUUUAAAAUAUAGAAAAAUCUUAAACACUUUUUGAAAAAAAAAUGUUUAGAAUGGUAAAAUAAUGCUUACCCUUAAUAUAUUUUUAAUUUUUGAAAUACUACAAUAACAAAAAUUAUAUUUAAAAAUUUGUCUAAAUCCUCGACAAAAAAACAACUCUAGUCAAAUUCAAGUUUUGAGUUUUUCAAAUUUUAGGAUUUUUGAUCUUAAAUAAACUCAAACCCUCCAAAACUCUUCCAACUAAAUUUUUUCUAUUAUUUUCACUAAAUCGUUUCUAUUUUUCAAAGUUCUUCCCUCCCAUUCACUUCCAUAUUUCCAAACAAAACCUUACAAAUUUAAGAAUUCAAUUCUCUGACACAAUAAAAAUAAGUGGCUUUUAGAUAUUGACAUUUUUCACCAUCAGUAUUUAAGAGACUAAUAUUAGACCGAGAAGUUCUAAAAACAAAACAUUCAAUAGAAUGUUAUAAAAGUGUGAAAACUUACAUCGAUCAAUGGUUUGUAAUCAUUCUAUUGGUAAUAAUAACAUUAUUGCGCCAGAGAAUACAAAUUUGCAUUAUAUAUAAUAGAAUUAAAUAUUAUAUAUAUUGAUUGAUACACAUUAUUGGUAUCUAAUAUAAUAAAAAUUGCCUUUAUUAUUUGAAAAUGCUAUAUUGUGUUAACAUACAGGGCCGGAAGGGACCUUUCGUCCGCAUACAUUAAGUAAAACUUUUAGAGGUAUAUUAAUAUCUAUUCCCAAAAUAUCACCUUUGAUUGCUGUGCAAAGGCACGCAUGAGCUUCAACAUCAACAAGACCAGCGAUGAAGGGGCAACAUGGCUUGCAUUGCGGAGCUCCAAUUACAAUGGACACUAAAUCUUUUAACAGAUUGACACAAACACGCAAAUCAGGACACUGCUUCAAUUUUGAAGUACCUGCCACUGGCACAUGGGCAGAGCUAAGACUAGCAGAGAAGAGGACGUUAACAAAAAAGAUGACGAUGAUAAUGGAUGCAACAUUCUUUGAACCCAUGUUAAAAUUAGAUGUUUUUAUAUGCUUUAUGAAUUCUUUUGAAAUGUUGAAUUUUAUUUGUGAUUUGAAUGAAGAUUCAAGGACAU